rnacentral:rRNA from 1 species
AUUACUCCUACGGGAGGCAGCAGUGGGGAAUAUUGGACAAUGGGCGCAAGCCUGAUCCAGCCAUGCCGCGUGAGUGAUGACGGCCUUAGGGUUGUAAAGCUCUUUUACCUGGGAAGAUAAUGACGGUACCAGGAGAAUAAGCCCCGGCUAACUUCGUGCCAGCAGCCGCGGUAAUAAU